rnacentral:lncRNA from 1 species
GAGGACAAGGCACUGAAUUCUGCUCUUUGUUUUGUUUUUAUUUUUUCCUUUUUUUGGUGGUUUAUGAAUGUUUACACAUGUGGGUACACAGGUAUGAAUGAGCGUGUACAUGCACAUGUGUGUCCAUGCAGGUGUAGGACUAAGGUUGAUAUCAAGAGUCAUCCUCCCUCACUGAUAUACCUUAUUCUUUUAGGCAGAGUCUCUCAAUCAAGCCAGAGCCCACCAUUUGGCUGGUAUUGCUUCUCAACUUAUUCUAGGAACCUCCCUAAGCACGGAUCUAUCUCUAUUUCCUGUUUCUUCUUGGUCUUUUUGAGGUAGAGUCUCACUAUAUAGUCCAAAUUGGCCUGUUCCUGCCUCUGGGUGACUGGGGUUCCAUAUGUAGACCAUUAAGACUGCUUUUGCUGUCGUUUUAAAAGCUCCAAACAGCCUCAGUUUCCCUCUCUGGGAAACGAGGGUAAUGGUGCCUCCUGUAUCAGGCUAUGAUGGCGGUGGAAAGAUUCUGUGAUAACUUCACAGAGCCCGGCCAGAUGACAGCUGGUCCUGUGAUUGCAAGCAGGCAUGCCCUAGGGAGGAGGUGGUAGUUAAAGACCUGUUCUCGGGGAUCAACUGGAAAGCACACAGAACCCCCGAAGUAGCUGGCCCAGCUGAGCCCCACUCUCUUUACCACAUCCCUUCUCUCCUUCACUGAGGCUUAGGACCUCUAUCUCUAGAUAGUUCUAGUUCUUUCUCUGUAAUAAAUAUUUGUCAUCUGCAGCCUUAAUCAAUCACAGUGAGAGGCAUAUCUGUGAAGUGUGCAGCCAAGGUCCUUGGAAGGUCCUGGAGGCGAAGUUGGAGAGGAAGUACUGGCCUGAGGCCAAGGGCAGCAAAGAGUGAAAAGGGGCCGGGGACAGUGUACAGAGCAGUGGCUGGCUUGUCUCCACUAUCAGACUUUACUCCAGGAGGAGGCAGAGGCCGUGUGAGAGCCGUGCCGCUUCACCUGGCUCCUGACCUAUAUUGGAAGUGACAAACACGGGCUCCGAAAUGCUUACAAGGCACCUUGCCGGCAAGCACUGUGAAGUGAACAGAAAAUGAGACUAGAUGCUGAGCAAGUCCCACAAACUGUGUGCCCAAGCUCUGGACAGAGCAGAUAGACACAGUCUUCCUCUGAACUAUGCUUGCUGCAGUCCCUCCACCAGCAUGGAGAAGAAGCUCACAAGGACUGUCCUUCAAGCCUAUAUCCAUGCUCAGCUGUGCCAGCAUCUCUGGGCCUCAGGAACACCGAAGUCCUCAUUCUGAGCCAGGAACACAAUAGAAAUUUCGCAUGCAUGCUAGCAUUGAAGCCUGACAAUGACCACAUUGUCCCCAUUCCACGUGGCAAAGAGAAUAAAAAGACCAGGAGAUGGCAGAAGGACCGAGGACCUGGGGAG